GUAGCCGUAGGAGCACGAGAAGAAGGUAUGUGUCCUGGAAACUGUUUCUUGUUGAGGAAAAUGUUUCGGAUGAGGUGUAGGUGGGGCUUUCUUGCCGUCUUUAGUUUGGAGAGUACCCGGAUAUCAGGGUCCUGGGGGGACUGGUGCUUGUGAGUGGGGGGAAGGACCUACGUCCCAGGUGAAAAAACUAUGUGAUACUUCCACAGUAGGAGAAAGAUAAUGUAUUCCUCCAGUGUGGUGUGUUUUUGUGGGCAUGAGAACUGGGGUGGUUCUGUGUGUGUGUGUUUUCUUGAGAGACACAUCUCCAGGAAAAACGACUUCUGACAGGCAUAUUAUCUUUGCUUUUGUGGCCUUUGACUCAAACACUGUGUCCCAUCCUGAACCCCAAAGUCACCAAGCGAACCGAAGAAUGGUACACGUACUGUACAUCAUGAUCUCACCCUGAUGGUGUUUUCUUUUCUAACAUUCAGGUGGCCGUAGGAGCACGAGAAGAAGGUAUGUGUCCUGGAAACUGUUUCUUGUUGAGGAAAAUGUUUCGGAUGAGGUGUAGGUGGGGCUUUCUUGCCGUCUUUAGUUUGGAGAGUACCCGGAUAUCAGGGUCCUGGGGGGACUGGUGCUUGUGAGUGGGGGGAAGGACCUACGUCCCAGGUGAAAAAACUAUGUGAUACUUCCACAGUAGGAGAAAGAUAAUGUAUUCCUCCAGUGUGGUGUGUUUUUGUGGGCAUGAGAACUGGGGUGGUUCUGUGUGUGUGUGUCACGUGAUCGUGACUCUGAAUGUGUGUUGAGAGUGUUUUCUCGGGAGACACACAGACUAAGCCACACAAAAUGAGACAGACUCACUGCAAGAGAGACAGAGAGAGAAAGAUACAUGUGGGUUUGCCCAGAGAAUAGGUGUCACUGACACUGCACAAUGAUUCAUGUCUACAUUCUCACACACUCCUCCUACUGCACACCUCAAGGUAUACUGCUGUGCACGGCUCAGCAGUAUCAUGUAGUCCAUGCAGGUCACCAAAUCCUCAAUAUCCUCUGGCCCAUGUUCAUAUCAAGGAACAGUCCCUGAGGUAUACUGGAGCAGCACCAACAUGGUACUGACAGGGAUUGUGGUCUUUCUAGGUGUCCCCGAGGAGGAAAGACGGCGGCACCAUCCUGUCCGGAGUCACCAGGCUGUUGCUGAGGUAGCCGUAGGAGCACGAGAAGAAGGUGUCGCGAAGCUGAAAAAGCGGCGGCCCCUUCCUGACACGAGGCAGCAGGAUGGUGCUGAGGUGAGCUUCCUGUCUUUCCUUGACGAACACAAGUGCUUUCUUAGAGGCUUUCCAAUCAAUCUCUGUUGUACAUAUGACAGUCUACAUUUUCGAGGAUACUGUUACUUUCCCGGAUGGGGACAGUGGUGAGUGGUUGCCUCUUGCCAACGGUCACCUUGGUCAGGGGGACAUUUUCCACUGGCAGUGCCAAACCUGGUAACAAACAGUGUCCUAGGAUCUUUACCGUCAGCAGCCAUCUGUCCUGCUUGGGUGAAGAAUUUUGUAGUAGGCAUCCUCAGUGGUCCUGAGAGACACAUCCCCAGGAGAAACAACUUCUGACAGGCAUAUUAUCUUUGCUUUUGUGGCCUGUGACUCAACCGCUGUGUCCCAUCUUGUAUCGUAAAGACGCAAAGGGAACUGAAGAGUUGUGCCAAUAGUGUAUGUCAUGAUCUCACCCUGAUGGUGUUUUCUUUCCUAACAUUCAGGUGGCCGUAGGAGCACAGGACACAGGUAUGUAUCCUGGAAACUGUCUCUUGCUGAGAAAAAUGUUUAGAUGGUGAUGCAGGUGGGACAUUGUUGUUGACUUCAGUCUGGAGAGCGACCCUAAUUCCAGAGGCCUGGGGGGACUGGUGCUGGAGUGUGGGGGGGAAAGACCGCCAUCCCUGUGUGUGUGUGUGUGUGUGUGUGUGUGUGUGUGUGUGUGUGUGUGUGUGUGUGUGUGUGUGUGUGUGUGUGUGUGUGUGUGUGUGUGUGUGUGUGUGUGUGUGUGUGUGUGUGUGUGUGUGUGUGUGUGUGUGUGUGUGUGUGUGUGUGUGUGUGUGU
ensembl:lncRNA